rnacentral:rRNA from 1 species
GAGAGCCUGAACCAGCCAAGUAGCGUGCAGGAAGACGGCCCUAUGGGUUGUAAACUGCUUUUAUAAGGGAAUAAAGUGAGUCUCGUGAGACUUUUUGCAUGUACCUUAUGAAUAAGGACCGGCUAAUUCCGUGCCAGCAGCCGCGGUAAUACGGAAGGUCCGGGCGUUAUCCGGAUUUAUUGGGUUUAAAGGGAGCGUAGGCCGGAGAUUAAGCGUGUUGUGAAAUGUAGAUGCUCAACAUCUGCACUGCAGCGCGAACUGGUUUCCUUGAGUACGCACAAAGUGGGCGGAAUUCGUGGUGUAGCGGUGAAAUGCUUAGAUAUCACGAAGAACUCCGAUUGCGAAGGCAGCUCACUGGAGCGCAACUGACGCUGAAGCUCGAAAGUGCGGGUAUCGAACAGGAUUAGAUACCCUGGUAGUCCGCACGGUAAACGAUGGAUGCCCGCUGUUGGUCUGAAUAGGUCAGCGGCCAAGCGAAAGCAUUAAGCAUCCCACCUGGGGAGUACGCCGGCAACGGUGCAACUCAAAUGAAUUGACGG